rnacentral:lncRNA from 1 species
UAUGGCAUGGGUGUGGCUCUAAAAAGCUAAAAGGAAAAAAAAAAAAGAAAAAAAAAUGCAAUUCAAUUCUACCAUCUUUUUAUUCUGACCACAGGCUAAUUCAGUGGUUUAACUAAUGGCAAAUAUCUGAAGGGAAGAAGACCUGGCCUUUGAAAGGCGAUUAGCAUUAAAGGUAUAGGAUAAGAAGUAGCAGUAUAUCCUUCAGUGGUUUGAUGCAUCAUUGUUUUUUCCUAAAACAGAAUUGUGCACCGUACAUAUAUUUAAAACACUAUUCUAAUACUGGUUUCAUGAUACUGAAGUUGACAACGGCACAUGACAUUUUCCCGAUAUUCCCUCACAAUGGAGGUCAUCCUACACAGGGUUAACUUAAUGAGGACGGAUGCAGAUAAGAAAGUUCUGAAAUUAAAGAUCACAGAAUCAUUACAUUUUAUUUGAUUUUUAUAAAGUAUUAAACUAGAAAAUCAAAUAUUUUUCAACUCAAAUAAAAAUGUUUUUUUAAAGGGGUCAUUAUUCAACUAAAGCAAACCAAAAAUUAUUCUAGGUUACAUCUUAUCUGUUUCGUAGUGUCUCUGAGGUCUUAUAACAAUUAAUUCAGUGUAGCUUUUUAAUUUGUUUAAUUAUCAUUCUUAUUAAAAGACACUAUCCCCACCCCAAAGACUAGUCAAAUUUGAGUAACUCUUAAGAUAUAGGGAAAUUAAUUCCAGUAUGUAAAAUGAUAUGGGGACAAAAUGUCCAGGUGAAAUGCAAAGCUGUAAAUGAAAGUUAUAUAUGUGAGACUUGUUUCUUUGUUGUUCAUUUUGAGAUGCCUAAGAAAUAUAAAGUUUAGAAACAUUCAGUCAGAACAUUUUCUGAGUGCCGUUUGGGACUAGAGUACUAUAUUGAUGGAUGUACUAUACAUCUAAUUCCAAAUUAGCUCUUACCUCACUAGAGUCCCUUCUCCAAAGCCUGAAAAAAUAUCUUUGAAGCUGAUUUCUCUACUUCUUUUCAUCACAGCUGUGAAGGCAUUCUGAACUAGGUGAAACUCUGGUGCUUCUGCCAUAAUCACUCCUAAUAAUUCUGGAAUCGUUAUAGACUUCAAGUCCCUUUCAAGAAGAUUAAACCCCAAAUCCUCUGUCUGUGUCUCGUUGUAAUGCUCCUUCCCCACCUUGAGCAACCUGGGCUGCUCACUCCCUACUAGGGAAGGAUUGUCACCCAUUGCUCACCCCUCCUCUGUGUAACAUGUUCCUGCAGGAAACCAAUCAGAAGAUCAAAUAUGCCCCAUGCAGAGUUCAAACAACACUCAGCCCUUAUGCACAGCAUAGGGAGCUGGGGCAGAAGAAAUUGGGUCUCCACUCAGGUCCAAUGCAUGGGGAUAUAAAAACAAUUGUAAAACUGAGGCGGGGCCUCUAUUUACCCCUCUGUCUGUGGGUGUGGGUGCGGUGUGUACACUCUCUCCUUCUCUGAAAAUGUACUUUUGCUUUAAUAAAUUUGUAAAAUGCCCACCAUUUCAAUGUUUUGUUAUGGCAGGGUGGGAACUGAGGAAACUGCCAUUUUAUCACUCAGGAACAAACUCUAUCCGGUUGUCUUACUAUACCUGAUGCAAAAUUUAAUAUGAAUGUCACAGACUCUCAACACGCCAUUCCUUUAUUUGUUCAACCAAUAAGGAGUAACUGCGUAGAAAUUAUGUGCCAGGUAGUUAAGGUAUAGUGACUGGGGGUAGAAUGUCCUUACAGGACUCAAAAACUCUAAAUUUCAUCCUUGAAUCAUUAUAAGGGAAAUCUUGGCAGUUAUAAUUAAUUUUUGCCUUACCAAAAGCGGUCUAAAAAGAAAGAUUAAAAGAUAAGAUUUACAGUCCAAUGAAGUUGAAACAUCUCAGAAUUUUCCAAUGAAUCAUGAUUUGAAAAAACAUAACUAAAUACUUGUACAAUGUAAGUGAACUAGUUACAAGAGUGAAGAUUUUUUUUAAACGAGAACGAUGAAAGAGAUUUUGAGAUAACAAAUGGAACUAUGCACCCCUUGCCCCCGAGAAAAGGCAAUCACUUGAUUUUCAAAGCACUCAUUAGAAACUAAAGAAAAAAUUCAAAUGUUAUUAUGCUAAUUUACGAAUAAGGAAAUCAUUCUUACAAAUUAAAUAAAUAACCCAAAAGCACAGAGGUAGCACCUAGCAAGAACAGCUUGGGAUGCAGCAAAUUGGUGUCACCUAGGGUCAGCUGAACCCCUCCCCGCAAGACUUCCCCUAAGCCUGAGAUUCCUUUUUACCACUGGGAGUGAAUAACAAAGGCUUCAUUUCCCCAGCCAAUAGAACACAGAUUUGUUAACUACAUUUCUCAUUUCCAUUCUCACAAAGCACCCAAGGUACCUUUAUUUGGGGUCAGGAAUACUGAAUUUCACUAUGAAACCCUGAGUUCUAAAACACAUGAUUAAAAAAAAAAAUCUGUGAUUAAAAAAACAAAUAAUGGCCAGAGGAGAAACAAUGUUUGCAAAUUCAUUAAUUAGGGCAUUAGUUAAUCCCGCCUUGGAAAAUUUAUUUUAGAUCAACUGUUCAGCCUUCAUUAAAGCCAUUAAAUUCUAUAGAAUAGAAAAUAUGUUUGAGCUUCCCACUGCUGAGUUUUCAGUUGGAUUGUCUCCCAAUUCACAUUUUUAUCAAACUAUAGUAUAAUCAAGGUGCAGGUUAAGGUAACACAUUAUUAGGCUUUCCAAGAGAAGUGUAAAUAAACCCUGACUUGCAAAUUGGAUAACUUAUUUUUUGUGCUACAUCAUUAGCUAUGAAAAGUAUUUAGACUUAAAUAUAUUUAUUGACAUAAAAAUUCCAGCCUAUCAUUUGUAAAAAGGAACGACAUUAUUCUAGGACAUUAUAGCUGAUGCAGGAAAGAAAAAAAUAUUUAAUUCUUCUCAUUUUAUAAUUAUUUUCUCACUCUAAAAGUAAUAAAUGUCCAUUGUAGAAAAUGUAGGAGGAUAUGGAAAACCACAAGGAAAAAAAUAAAUCUUUCUUGAACCCCACAACUCAAAGAUAAUGACUGUUAAUAUAACCAGUCUUCACCAAUUCAGUAUCUAUUGGCAGGGAGAUGAGAUUGUUUAUGUCUCUGUAAUUGCCAAAAGGGGCUAUUUUCAAAACUUUUAAGCACUUAGCAAUUAAAGAGUUUUACCUCAUUUUUAUUUAACUGAAUAGUCUUUGACUACUAAGUGGAAAAAUUUUCAAUGUCAUCAGUUAUUUGUAAUGAAUUAUAUUUUACUUGUUUAUUGUCAUCUCAUUGUUCACUUUUUUAUCCACUGAUUCAUUUAGUUAAGUACCUACUGCAGUCAGCAUCAUUUCAGUUACUAGUGAAGAAGAAAAACUUCUGUUCUCAUGUUGUGCACCUGCUCCUGAAAGGAGACAAAUUAUAAGCAAAGUAUCAAAAGUAAACAAGUUAAUUUUGCACUAUUAUCAUAGUCCAAAUAUGUUUUGUAUUACUCUCUUAGGGCUAUUGUAACAAGUUACCACAAACUGGGUGGCUCCAACAACAGAAAUGUAUUCCAUCACAGUUCAGAAGUCUAGACAUUUGAAAUCAAGGUGUCAGCAGGACCAUAUUCUCUCUGUCUCUAGGGCAGAAAACUUCCUUGCCUCUUCCAACUUCUCAUGGCCCCCAGUUAUUUCCUGGACUUGUGGCCUCAUCACACCAAUUUUUGCCUCCGUUUUCUUCUCUCUGUGUUUAUCCUCUAUGUCUCUGUGUUCCGAUAUAUCACUCUUUUCUCUUAAAAGACAUCAAUUGUUGGAUUUAUGGACCACCCUUAUCCAGUAUGAUCUCAUUUUUAACUUGAUUACAUCUACAAAGAUUAUUUCCAAAUAAGGUUACAAUUACUGGUAUUGGGACUUAGGACUUGAACAUUUCUUUGGGAGGAGUUGCAAAAUACAACCCAUCACACUGUGACAAACACUAGGAAAAAAACAAAAGUUUGAAUUAAACUUCUAUGAGAGAUUGUGAUCAGGGAUGGGUUGGGAGACCUAUUUUGAUAGAGUGUUCAGGGGAGACCUCUCUGGGAAGGUUACUACCAAGCUAAGACCAGAAUGAUGAGCUGGAGCUAGUCACACAGAGAUCUCCAAGCAGUGAAAAACAGCUCGUGCAGGGUCCCCAAGGGGUGGAGUGUUAUGAGAUAAUGAUUAGCUGGUGAUAUUUACCUUUAUAAACCAUGGUAGAGAGAUUUUAAUCAAUCAGUGUGUAAAAUAAUCUUUUAAAACAAGGUUGAAAUGUUUGAAAUAAGUUUGAUGCACCUUAUCCCAUACAUACGGAGAAAAUAGUUUUAUUAACCUCUUCUAGAAAGAAUAAAGGCACAGAAAUUCUAAACACCUUUUUUUAACGUUGAAAGAUAAUUAGGAACAUUUCUAAUUAUGUUGUAAGUGUGUUUUCUAUUUUAAGUGUGUUUAUAUUUAUUUCAAUGUGUAAUUUUCUUUUAAAUUAGUCUUUGGGCUUUUUAUCCAGUAAGUAUUAAUAACAAUUCUACCUAUCAAAGUACUUAGUUAUCUAUUAAUCUAGAUACUUAUUUAUUGUUUUAUCAUAUGAACUCUAUCUUGCCUUAUAUGAUUAGGGGAAAAAAAAACUCUGCGCCAUCAAGGAUUAAAAUAAUUGAUGGUCUACAUUUUAUUCUAUAGUCUGAUGCUUUCUUUUCCUUUCUUUUUUUUUUUUUUAAUCUGCUUUUUGUUUAUAUUUCACUUAUUUUUCACGAAUGCUUUCAUUCAUCUGGAAAAGAUUUUGGAGCAAGAACACAUUUCGAUUCUCCUGACCAUUAUAC